rnacentral:lncRNA from 10 species
UUCUUUUUCAUUGGUGCAUAGUAUUCCAUGGUGUACUGUGGUCACGUCUUAGGUCACCUGUGAUGACAUUCGGCCCGUCAGGAUAGUUCAGGAGAGUUUCCCCAUGUCAGUGCUUAACUCCCUCCCAUCCACAGAGUCCUUGUUGCCCUGAGACAGCAGAUGACAGGUUCUGGGGAUCAGACCGUGUACAUCUUUGGGGCCAUUAUUCUGUCUGCCACAGAGGCGAGGUGAAUGCAAGGUGAAGUGGGGGUGGAACAGAACCAACGUGGAAUCUGUGAGCCUCGGGGUUUCGCCCUUUCCAGUUUCCAUGACUCCUCAGAACAGGACCUGGCACAUGGGUGCUGUCUAGGUAGAUUUCAGCCACUGUUACCACUCUGAGCUCAUGCCAUCUGUUUUGUUGGCAUUAAAAUGUUCUUUUAGGAAAAGAUGGUAAAAGUAGGUGGUGGUUAUUGUUGCUUUUAAUGUAUAUAUCUUGCAAAAUAAAAAAAAAUCUUCCAUUCGGGGAUGCAGUGAGAGUUCUGUUGGUUCAGUGAAUCUAAAAGUCGGGAAAUCACCAGGCUCCAGGCCGUCGGGACUCUCCUGCGUUCUCUGCUUGCUCCGAGGCGAACCUCUCACUGUGGCUCUGGGAUGUCUUUAGCAUCUCUCUUGUAUCUGUUACUCUCUCUUUUUAAUAA